UUGCCGUCAGCCGGGUUAUUGGGCUAGGAGCUGCCCUAACCGGAACAAGCCUCCUCGACUCCAUGUUUCCACUGCACAAGCAGACCGGCCACUGGGCUGGCCUCUGUCUUAAGGCCAAAAAUCCGGAGGAGGGGCGCCCACAGGCCAACGUGCAGCUGCUAACUGAGGAGGAUUGAAAGCGCCUGGUCCGGAUGGCCGAGCAGCAAGAGAGCUGUUACUGCUCUGGAGCCUAGGGUGAGCAUCGAUGUGGCAGCUUUCCAAUUGUUCCUCCCGGUGGAGGAGCCACAGAUUCCCCCAAACCGUUGGAACAAGUCAUAUCCCCUGAAGUUUGGGACACAAGAGCCCCUGGUAAAGCUAAGUAUGCUACCCCUGUGAAGAUUUUCCUAAAAGAUCCUACCCAGUUUCCCCAUCAGCGACAGUAUCCUUUGAAACCUGAAGCCAUCAAAGGAUUACAACCCCUUAUUAGUAAGUUCCUCCAACAUGGAUUUUGGUCCCUAAAACUCCCCCUGUAACACCCCCAAUAUUACCAGUUAAAAAGAAAGACGGGUCUUAUCGGCUAGUCCAAGACCCCAGGAUAAUAAAUGAAGCAGUGAUCCUACUGCACCCAGUAGUGCCAAACCCCUGUACCCUCCUAGGGGAAAUAGUGAAUGCUUUUACCCCGUUCCUGUGUUUACAGUGAACCAACACUCAUGCCUAUUCGUCCUAAGAUUUCUAUUUAUUGCCUGUGACACUAACCUAACUUCAAGGGCACUGCCACCUCACAGUUUUACCCUUGUCUCACUUAAACUGUUCACCUGUCUGUCCGUUUGUUUAUCCAGAAGUUCUCAGGUUACCAAGGCCUCUGAACCAAGUGUGCCGGCUCCAGGACCACCAUCUCCUCGACCUCCUCGACCUUAUCCAUCCUGGGCCCUGAAUGGACAGCCCCUUCCAACAGAGUAGGAAGACAGCUAAUACAUGAUGUGGCACAGUCAGGCUGUGGUCUGGAGCGGGCAGGCCACAGUCCCGCAACUGUGCCGUGGACUCUGCCUGGCUUGUGUUCCAUUUACUGUACAACCUGAAACUGCUACUAUUCUCUAUAAACUCACUUGGAUCACAAACCAGGCUUCAGCGUGAAUUCUUUCUCGCACGGAGCCAAGGAACGAGGUACAUCUCUCCCCUGAGACA